AGAAUCAACGCUGGCGGCGUGCCUAACGACAUGCAAGUCGAACGAGAAAGUGGAGCAAUCCAUGAGUAAAGUGGCGACCGGGUGAGUAACACGUGACUAACCUACCCUAAAGUGGGGAAUAACUCCGGGAAACCGGGGCUAAUACCGCAUAAAAUCGUCGUUUCUAAAGAAGUGACGAUCAAAGCAGCAAUGCGCUAUGGGAGGGGGUCGCGGCUGAUUAGCUAGUUGGCGGGGUAAUGGCCCACCAAGGCGAAGAUCGGUAUCCGGCCUGAGAGGGCGCACGGACACACUGGAACUGAAACACGGUCCAGACUCCUACGGGAGGCAGCAGUGGGGAAUUUUGCGCAAUGGGGGAAACCCUGACGCAGCAACGCCGCGUGGAGGAUGAAGCCCCUUGGGGUGUAAACUCCUUUCGACCAAGACGAUAAUGACGGUACUGGUGGAAGAAGCACCGGCUAACUCUGCGCCAGCAGCCGC
rnacentral:rRNA from 1 species